GCCUUCGUAGUGUAGUGGUCAGCACACUCGACGCGUAUUCGAGAGGUCCUUGGUUCGAGUCCCGGCGAGGGCA
rnacentral:tRNA from 1 species